CAAGAAAUAACAAGUUCAUCGUUAAUGUUCACGAAAAGAUAAAGAGAAAUUAGAAAAAGAAAAAUUGUGUUCGUCGUUAUUCUCAAUUCCCAGUAGCGCCAUGUUUUUAUUUUCGUUGGCCGACGCCGCCGACCUCAAAAUUCACUCAUCUCCAUCUCUCGGACCUAAAACCUUCAAUUGAAUUCGCAGUUUUGCGAUUCAUGUUAUUCUAAAUGAAAAUAAUGGCUUUUCUAUCUUCCCCCUCUCUAUAUCCUUGACCAAAGAUGCAAUGGAAUUAGUCCAUGUACGGCGGGCGCCAUUAACCUUGAAUUCGAUCGCCCUAUGCGCAACAACAUUUGCUUAUUUGGACAUGUUUUGAAGAGAGUAGUGGCACACAGUCGUUGCGGGGUGAUACUGCAUUACUGAGUACCUGGAAUCUGCGGCUUUCAGCAAAGUUGUUCAGGCUCAUGAUAUCCAGACUGGAGUUUAUGUUUGCCUGAAAGUCAUUAGAAAUGACAGAUUUUGUUUGUAAAAGUUUGGACGAAAUCGAACUUCUCAAGUAUGUCAACAAGAAUGAUCCUGCAGAUAAGCACCUUUUACAUCUCUAUGACUACUUUUACCAUCUCUUCCCCCCCCCCCCAUGGGUCCGUGACAUGCAGGCUUAGAUUUUUAUUGUCCUAUACGAAGUGAUUAAUUCCAGAUUCUUGUUUACGUAUACAGAAGCACCUUUUCAUUGUAUGUGAACUUCUUCGAGCUAAUAUAUAUGACUUUCAGAAAUAUAAUAUAGAAUCUGGUGGAGAACCCUACUUUACAAUGAGUAGAUUGCAGGUACUUGUUCUACUAAGUUGCAUUUAUCUGUUAAUGGAACCCAUGAAACUGGUUUUUAACGAUGUUUUUUAGCAUUUAAAUGUAAGGAGCUCCUAUAAAUCCUGUUUUUGUAAAUCAUAGCACGGGUCCUAAUUGUCGUUGGCGCUUUUCACCCUAAUAUCACUUCAAGUUGUUUUCUAUUUCCUGCCUGGUUUUAAGUAUGGCAUCACGACCCUAAUAUUUUUUCUUUGAUAUAUGAAGAUUUGUUUUAAUUUUAUAAGAACCAAUUAGUCUAUGGUUAGGUGGGAUUCAAUUUGCCUCAGCGCAAUUGCCUCAUCUGGAGCACUUAUAGGCUUUUUGGACUUUUCAUAUGUGACUUUGUUUCUGAGUUAGGUAGUUAAACAAAAUGCAGGCUCUAAAUUUAAACGAUCCAGAGCUCAAAGACCUGAACCUUACUUCAUGUAGAAACUUGCAGGUUUGUAUUUUAGAUGGUCUAAUUUACAAUGGAUGAUUUUAGCAAAUACUGCUAGUUGUUAAGGUUUCUAAUGAGGUUUCUUGCUUUAUUUAGAGAGGUUACUACUCUAGUUUCCCAAUUUGGAAUGCGUCAAAUUUCCUUGCGUUAGAUUAUUGAAACUGAGGUUAUAUCAAUUCCCUUGUACAAGUUCAAUGAUAAACCUUCCCCUGACUAUGUUGGUCUUAAUUACUGUUGUUUCAUAUGUUGAUUAUGAAGUAUAACAUGAAAAGGGUUCCAUUGAAAUUUUAUGCAAUAAAAAAAUCUUCUUGUAAAGAAGCUGGCCAAUGCCUAGUAAGUUAGUAGCCUUAGUAAAGAAAUCUAGUGGAUAAUUUGGUCAGAAGCUUUUGUUUGUUAGUGUUAUGUUCAAAAUGAAAGCAACCUUGUUUAUAUUAACUGAAAAGAUCAAUCAGUUUUGACAUUCAUUGUGAAAUUCUUGCAGAUAAGAAAGUUCCACUAGAAAGCCAAUUUCUAAGCAAGCGCAUGGCUGGUGGAGAUCCAAGAGAGUUGGAUUUCCUCACAUUCUCAUCUAGCAAGAAGUACGUUCUGUUUUUGUAUUCUUCAGAUCUAGAUUUGGUGCUGCAAUUGCUUCACGUUUACGACAAUCUGAGAAACAUACAGAAUUGGUUAAGGAGCAAGCUCCUGAGCCAGAUGAUGUGUACCGGCCAUUUUCCAAGAAACGUUCUUGUAAAGAUGGAUGUCUAGAGUGGUAAUAAUAGUCGCAAGCACACAUUUCUGACUGUUCUAUUUCUUAUACCAGUUGUGCUUGUGCAAGUCUUGCCAAUCUGUCCCAACUGGAGGUCUGGUUCCCCUUCUUGGCAAGCAUUUUAACCGCAUAAGUGAUUAUUCCAUCUCCCGAGUUUCUGUGAAAAUUGCUAGUUCAAUCUGCCUGUCAUAGAAAAAUUUUAGAAUCGUAAUUUUUUUCUUCUUUUAAUCAUCAUUUUAAUUGGGCCUUAAACUUAUGUUAGAUUUUAAGAUUUGGAGAGAAGAAAUCAAGGAGGAAGAAGGUUUAUUGAAGUCUGCAUGGAAGGCUACCCUGAAGAGCUCUCAAGCUUUUGUCGGACUACAUUUUUGCAUAUAGUUGUGUGUUGAUCAACUAGUUAGAUUUUUAUUUUUUUCUUUUCGAUUGAACAAGAAUUAUUUAUCUUUAGCUUUUUAAGAAUUUUUUUAUUUAAAGAUGUGAUUUUUGAUUUACCAUAACUUGAAAUUCUAUUGUCAAAAAUAUUUUGAGUAAUGAAAUUUUAAUUUGUUUAA